rnacentral:rRNA from 1 species
GACGAACGCUGGCGGCGUGCUUAACACAUGCAAGUCGAACGGAAAGGCCCUGCUUGCAGGGUACUCGAGUGGCGAACGGGUGAGUAACACGUGGGUGAUCUGCCCUGCACUUCGGGAUAAGCUUGGGAAACUGGGUCUAAUACCGGAUAGGAACCAUCUUUAGUGUGGUGGUUGGAAAGUUUUUUCGGUGUAGGAUGAGCUCGCGGCCUAUCAGCUUGUUGGUGGGGUAAUGGCCUACCAAGGCGGCGACGGGUAGCCGGCCUGAGAGGGUGUACGGCCACAUUGGGACUGAGAUACGGCCCAGACGCCUACGGGAGGCAGCAGUGGGGAAUAUUGCACAAUGGGCGCAAGCCUGAUGCAGCGACGCCGCGGGGGGGAUGAAGGCCUUCGGGUUGUAAACGCCUUUCGCUAGGGACGAAGCUUUUUGUGACGGUACCUAGAUAAGAAGCACCGGCUAACUACGUG